GGCGGCCUGCGCAAGUUCUACCAGCUCUCGUACAUGUGGUACAGCGCCCACAACUCCACCACCGUCAUCCUCGUGGGGCUCCUCGUCAGCCUCGUCACCGGCCCCACGCCGGGACACGCCGUGGACCCCCGCACCAUCUACCCGGUGCUGCCGCGGCUGCUCUGCUGCCUGCCCGAGAAG